rnacentral:tRNA from 1 species
GACCGGCUGCGCGAAGGGGUACGCGGCGCCGCCCAGGCUGGUGCCUGCACCGUUCGUGACGGUGCUGGUCGC